CACACACCCAGAAGGUGGAGCUGGGGUGCGGUUGCGAGAACCAGCCAGCGGCUAGAGGGGUGCGCUGGGAGCUUCUGCCCUAGCCAAGGGAAGUGAUUCCAAAUGUACGGAGGUUAUCCUAAGCCACCUACUUUAAUUAACCCAGAGCCCCUUACAGUUUGACCAGAGGCACACAACUCCAAAGAGAAAGAAGUGGGAAUGAUAAGAACCUAAGCACUAUGAGGUGUAUUUCAAGAGCCACUGAUCUAUUACCCAGAUGAGGAAAACGAGGUUCAGAGAGGUGAAGCACCAGCCUAACGUGAUGCUGCAAUAAAGACAAAAGGAGCUAAUGCAUGUCCCUGGAGACUUUGAAGUAGCCUGGCCCCUGGCUGAAGACCCUAAAUACUGGGCGUACCAAAAACAAUGUAUACAAAAGGAUACUGGUCAACGUUGCUCAAGCAGUAGUUCGCCGUAAUCAGAAGU